AAGAAGGGUCAUGAGACACAGAAACUGCUAAUUGUCUGGCCCUAAAGUUUAAAUCUUUAGCCUUCUUA
rnacentral:tRNA from 1 species